UGGGGAAUAUUGGACAAUGGGGGGAACCCUGAUCCAGCAAUGCCGCGUGUGUGAAGAAGGCCUGAGGGUUGUAAAGCACUUUCGGUGGGGAGGAGGGCUUAUAGGUUAAGAGCUAAUGAGUUGGACGUUACCCACAGAAGAAGCACCGGCUAACUCCGUGCCAGCAGCCGCGGUAAUACGGAGGGUGCGAGCGUUAAUCGGAAUUACUGGGCGUAAAGGGUGCGUAGGUGGUUGAUUAAGUUAUCUGUGAAAUACCUGGGCUUAACCUGGGCAGGUCAGAUGAUACUGAACGACUCGAGUAUGGGAGAGGGUAGUGGAAUUUCCGGUGUAGCGGUGAAAUGCGUAGAGAUCGGAAGGAACACCAGUGGCGAAGGCGGCUACCUGGCCUAAUACUGACACUGAGGCACGAAAGCGUGGGGAGCAAACAGGAUUAGAUACCCCCGUAGUCC
rnacentral:rRNA from 1 species